GUAUUUAGCUGCCAGGGGAGACACCAUACUCCCGAAGGUGGUUUUCCCAGGGUGAGGCUCAUCCAUUGCACUCCGGAUGUACUGACCUCUGUGAUUUCCCCAAAUGUGGGAAACUCAAACUGCACAAGUUGUGGUAGUGGGGGGGACUGCGUCUGUGCUUCCCCCUG